CUUGGGCAUAUGAUGAAAUUAUAUUUCAUGGGUAAUUUGCGUCUGAAUCUUCUUGAUGUUUUCUUUAUGAUACACUGAUGCCCCGU
rfam:Brassica oleracea var. oleracea cultivar TO1000 chromosome C4, whole genome shotgun sequence